AUGCGCCGCCGGCACUGCACAGAGGACCCGACCCGUGCCCGGGGCCAUGGGUGGCUAUGCGCAGCAGCUGAACCAGCUGGGCGCGCAGAAGAUCUCAGCCCUGAAGGAAGUGCUCUUCCGCUGCCUCACUGAGCCAGAAGAGAUGGAAAGGUUUCUGGCUCAGCUCUCUGAAUUUGCCACCACCAAGCAAAUCAGCCCCGGCCCCGUCAGAAGCAUCGUGAAGAGCCUCCUCCUGAUUUCAAAUGGUGCCUUGAAGAAGAGUCUCACAGCUGAGCAGGUCCAGGCUGAUUUCAUAACUCUGAGUCUCAGUGAAGAGAAAGCCACCUACUUUUCUGAAAAGUGGAAACAGAAUGCUCCCACCCUUGCUCGAUGGGCCACAGGUCAGACUCUGAUGAUUAACCAGCUCAUAGAUAUGGAGUGGACAUUUGGAGUGACGGCUGGGAGCAGAGAACUGGAAAAAGCGGGAAGUAUGUUUUUACAAUUAAAGUUGGUGGUUAAGAAAGGAAACCAAACGGAAAAUGUAUACAUAGAAUUAACCUUGCCUCAGUUCUACAGCUUCCUGCACGAGACGGAGCGAGUCAGAACCAGCAUGGAGUGUUUCAGCUGAUUUCUGUCCCCCUGCAUCUCCACCUCGCCCCUCCCUGCCCCCUCCUCCUCCCCGGUGACUGCUCAGAGAGGCCGCUCGCUCCCAGGCCUGUGGCCGCUCCUUUGGGCCUGCUUGCCCCUUGGGAGCCCAGGUGCAAAGGUUUCUGAAAAACAAAGGAUUAAGUACUUAAGAAGCCUGACAGGCUGGUCCUGAAGAGUCUUUGUUGAGGGACCCUCUACCACCUAUCUCCCAGAUCACCGUUCACAUAUUCAGAGAAGUGACUGCAUCUCAGAUGCAGGGGAGGAAAUAAGUUGAGUCACCUUCCUUUCCAAGUUCCAGAGUAAAUAAAUGGUCUAUCGCUCUAUGCACGGAGGACCUUCCCCCGCAAAAGAACAAGGAAGGGCUUGCUUAUGGCUGAGGAAGAGGCGGACUCCGUGAAUGACACACGGGGGAGCCCCCAACAGUGUUUGUAUGUUUGUGGUGGUGGUGCUUUGUUGAUCAGUCUUUAGUGGACACCUGUGUAAGAAUACAUGCUGAGUCUGCUCUGAAAAAAACUGAGGCUUCACUUCAGGUUUUGCCCUGUUGUGUGUAAUGAGGUGGGCCUUCUGAGGCUAUUUCAGCUUGUUUUGGUUCAAGCUGACCUUCUCUGGUGGUCAGAAGAAUAAAAAAGGUUCUGAAGAAAAAAAAAAA